AGCUCUGCGCAGUGGCAGUAUAGUAGCCGAUGAGGUUUCUCCGAGGCGCGAUUAUUGCUAAUUGAUUCCCCCAUAUUAGAACCUAUCAGCAAUUUAGUGAUCUGAAAGGGAUGGGGGUUCCCUGCACUUAUUGGCAGAAUGGUAAUGAUU
rnacentral:snRNA from 1 species